rnacentral:rRNA from 1 species
UACGUAGGGACCUAGCGUUGUCCGGAAUCAUUGGGCGUAAAGAGCGUGUAGGCUGCUCGGUAAGUCCGCUGUAAAAGUCAAAGGCUCAACCUUUGAAUGUCAGUGGAUACUGCCGGGCUAGAGUCCGGAAGAGGCGAGUGGAACUCCUGGUGUAGCGGUGGAAUGCGCAGAUAUCAGGAGGAACACCGAUGGCGAAGGCAGGUCACUGGGCCGCAACUGACGCUGAGGAGCGAAAGCAUGGGGAGCGAACAGG